AAAUGAAAGGUUUUUUUCUGUCACAGAAAACAAAAAAAAAAAUAAAAAAAAAGAAGAAACUGUUCUAUGUAAGUUUAGAAAAAUAGAGUUUCGAAUGUGCAGUUACGGAAUAUACCUCCAAAGAAAUUAAAAUUCGUCAAUAUAAACGAUCAAAAGAUUGGAAACGAAAUUGAUGCAAUAAGUGGUUAUUGAGGAGAAGUUGAACUGAGAACUCAUAAGAGGCUUAAGGGCACGGCCACAGUACCACGUAAACUGAGAAUGCCUAUGUUAUGAGGAUAAUUUCCUUACUUGUUAUAUCUUGAAUGAUUAAUAUCAUUACACACUCUCGCUUUCAUUGAUAAAGCGUAACGGAGCAACAAAUAAAAACUCAUCAGUCUACUGAUGUAUUAGUCUUAUCGCUAACUGAUCUAAUCCACCUUAUCCAACAAAACAAAAAAAAAGAUAAAUAAAAUGUUGUUAUUAAAUAAACAAGUAAUGUUGAGAAAUAUAUAUACAUCGAGAGGAAUGGUUACUUUCCUUACAUUGUGUUAUAUGGCAGUGAAGGAGCAUCGUUAUUGGUGAUUUACGUUGCUCGCAAAUGUCUUGGUAAAUGAUUUUAUACGUUUAUCAGCAUUAAAAUAUACAUAUUGUUAUAAGUAGAUAUCUAGAAGAGUUUUCCAAAAGAGGUUUUAGAAUAAAUUUUAGGUAAAUUUGUUGUGAGUGAUGGCACAAGAAUAAUCUAUAUGCCUGCAAUGAUCUAUUUAGCCCUUACUUUUAAGUUGCUGGGAUCUGGGUGCUGUUAAUGGCUGGCGAGUAAUGAUUUUUACUUAAGCGUUGCACAGAGCACCGCUUCUGUAGAUGUAGCGGAAAUUACCCAAGAAAUGGAGUAAAAACUUGGUGCAAAUGUUUUCGGUGUGGUAUUAGCGCCAACACAAAGUAGUUAUUCUAUAGGGAAUUUGGUGUUCCUGAUGACCCGCGCAGAAUCAAAACCGAAAGGGCGAGCGUAGCCGCAAUGAGAUGAUGCGUUAAUUUAUAUACACAUGUUUUUCCCAUAUGCAUACGAAUAUUUUAUUCGUAGGGUUUACGACUAUGUGAAACUUAUGGAAGUAAACUGUCGACUUUCUGGAUCAAGGCAUCUUAUUAUGACGAUAACAUCGACAUUUCGCUAGCUUUCAUGUCCUUGCGACGCUUUAUUUCAUAGCAAACGAUGAUUGAAAUAUUCGCAAUAUACAUUGAAGUGAUUGGAUGCGUACACGGAAUCCAGAUUUUCGGAAGCCCGCACGAGAUGAAGAACGUUUCAUAACCAAAAAGAUGACGAAGGCCAUACAUAACUCUCUAUGAAAUGGUUAUCGAGGAUCGCCUUUCAAAAGGGAGCUAGUUAGCCAAACGAUACAUAAUAAGUGUUCAUAAGUUGAAGUGCAAAAAAAAAAAAUGCAAUUUGUAACGAAAAAUAAAAAAGCAUUUGCAUAAUGGAUCAAAUUAACUGUAAAUUAUUAAUGCAUAAUUUUAAUAUAACAAAUAAUUCAUUCGAAUUUCAAAACUGUUCAGUCGUCUGACAGAGUUAUAUGAUUUUUAAAUGAUUGUGCGCAGAAUAGUUUUUUUUAUAAAGAUUGUAUGUUUUGGGAAUUUCUUGCAAUUAUUUGUUGUCAUGGAGUAUAGUAGUAUCGGCGCAAAAUUUUUUGUUGUUUUUUUAUAUAAUGCGUAUAUAUAUAUACAUUUAUAUUCUUAUAAUUAAAAAAAAAAU